rnacentral:lncRNA from 1 species
UCCCUCUCCCACACGUACAUUUAUGGUACCGUAUAUGGGUAAGCAUAAAAAAGGGAUAACCGCAUAUAAAACAAGUAUAGGUAUGGAAAAGCACAAGCAUGGUUUAGCAUCUACUUCAAGUGGCUUCUAUUAUUAAUGGCUCCAAGCUCAUUAAAAAUUACCUAAAAUUAAAUCAUAUAUUUUUGUUGUUGAGAAAUAAUAGUCCCAUAUUGAAUAUGU